rnacentral:lncRNA from 1 species
GGCUCUUUGAUUUUUCUCUCCACUUCAGGGACAGGAUUCUCACGGAAACCUACAUACCACAUACUUCAGAAUCCUCUGGAGAGCAGCAAGAGAAAGAAAGAAAGAAGCAAACGAAAUUCCUGAAUGGAUAGGAGAUGCUACGUCAGCGGUACCCGAGUCGCAUCCUCCACUCCACAAGAGAAGAGCUAGGAGAGACCCGCGGCGGUGCAGCCACGCGCCAGCGCCAGCGCCAGCGCCAGCGUCGUUGGUUGCCUCCUCCUUACAGAGGCAAGGGCCAGUCAUAGAAGCAGCCUCGUUGUUCAUCGGUUCAUUGAUGUCAUCAUAGGUGGCCCACAUCUCUGGCUUUGGGCUUCUCCCCUGGGCGGGUGGGUGCUCCACCCUCCCGCCCUCUCCGCUCUGUGGACAAGGACGUGAGGAC